rnacentral:rRNA from 1 species
UACGUAGGUGGCAAGCGUUGUCCGGAAUUAUUGGGCGUAAAGCGCGCGCAGGUGGUUUCUUAAGUCUGAUGUGAAAGCCCACGGCUCAACCGUGGAGGGUCAUUGGAAACUGGGGAACUUGAGUGCAGGAGAGAAGAGUGGAAUUCCACGUGUAGCGGUGAAAUGCGUAGAGAUGUGGAGGAACACCAAUGGCGAAGGCAGCCUCUGGGCCAACACUGACGCUCAUGCACGAAAGCGUGGGGAGCGAACAGGAUUAGAA